UACGUAGGGUGCAAGCGUUGUCCGGAAUUAUUGGGCGUAAAGAGCGUGUAGGCGGCCCGAUUAGUCCGCUGUGAAAGUCCAGGGCUCAACCCUGGAAUGCCGGUGGAUACUGUCGGGCUAGAGUCCGGAAGGGGCGAGUGGAAUUCCUGGUGUAGCGGUGAAAUGCGUAGAUAUCGAGAGGAACACCUGCGGCGAAGGCGGGUUGCUGGGCUGACACUGACGCUGAUGCGCGAAAGCCAGGGGAGCGAACGGG
rnacentral:rRNA from 1 species